UACGAAGGGGGGCUAGCGUUGCUCGGAAUCACUGGGCGUAAAGGGCGCGUAGGCGGCGUGACAAGUCACUUGUGAAAUCUCCGGGCUUAACUCGGAACGGUCAAGUGAUACUGUCGUGCUAGAGUACAGAAGGGGCAACUGGAAUUCUCGGUGUAGCGGUGAAAUGCGUAGAUAUCGAGAGGAACACCUGCGGCGAAGGCGGGUUGCUGGGCUGAUACUGACGCUGAGGCGCGAAAGCUAGGGGAGCGAACGGG
rnacentral:rRNA from 1 species